rnacentral:rRNA from 1 species
ACUCCGGAUCUGCGGUGGGUACGGGCAGACUAGAGUGAUGUAGGGGAGACUGGAAUUCCUGGUGUAGCGGUGAAAUGCGCAGAUAUCAGGAGGAACACCGAUGGCGAAGGCAGGUCUCUGGGCAUUAACUGACGCUGAGGAGCGAAAGCAUGGGGAGCGAACAGGAUUAGAUACCCUGGUAGUCCAUGCCGUAAACGUUGGGCACUAGGUGUGGGGGACAUUCCACGUUUUCCGCGCCGUAGCUAACGCAUUAAGUGCCCCGCCUGGGGAGUACGGCCGCAAGGCUAAAACUCAAAGGAAUUGACGGGGGCCCGCACAAGCGGCGGAGCAUGCGGAUUAAUUCGAUGCAACGCGAAGAACCUUACCAAGGCUUGACAUGAACCGGAAACACCUGGAAACAGGUGCCCCGCUUGCGGUCGGUUUACAGGUGGUGCAUGGUUGUCGUCAGCUCGUGUCGUGAGAUGUUGGGUUAAGUCCCGCAACGAGCGCAACCCUCGUUCUAUGUUGCCAGCGCGUUAUGGCGGGGACUCAUAGGAGACUGCCGGGGUCAACUCGGAGGAAGGUGGGGACGACGUCAAAUCAUCAUGCCCCUUAUGUCUUGGGCUUCACGCAUGCUACAAUGGCCGGUACAAAGGGUUGCGAUACUGUGAGGUGGAGCUAAUCCCAAAAAGCCGGUCUCAGUUCGGAUUGGGGUCUGCAACUCGACCCCAUGAAGUCGGAGUCGCUAGUAAUCGCAGAUCAGCAACGCUGCGGUGAAUACGUUCCCGGGCCUUGUACACACCGCCCGUCAAGUCACGAAAGUUGGUAACACCCGAAGCCGGUGGCCUAACCCCUUGUGGGAGGGAGCUGUCUGAGAGUUGAU